rnacentral:rRNA from 1 species
CGGGUGGUAAUGCCGGAUGUUCCACAUGAUCGCAUGUGAUUGUGGGAAAGAUUCUAUCGGCGUGGGAUGGGGUCGCGUCCUAUCAGCUUGUUGGUGAGGUAACGGCUCACCAAGGCUUCGACGGGUAGCCGGCCUGAGAGGGCGACCGGCCACAUUGGGACUGAGAUACGGCCCAGACUCCUACGGGAGGCAGCAGUGGGGAAUAUUGCACAAUGGGCGCAAGCCUGAUGCAGCGACGCCGCGUGAGGGAUGGAGGCCUUCGGGUUGUAAACCUCUUUUGUUUGGGAGCAAGCCUUCGGGUGAGUGUACCUUUCGAAUAAGCGCCGGCUAACUACGUGCCAGCAGCCGCGGUAAUACGUAGGGCGCAAGCGUUAUCCGGAUUUAUUGGGCGUAAAGGGCUCGUAGGCGGCUCGUCGCGUCCGGUGUGAAAGUCCAUCGCUUAACGGUGGAUCUGCGCCGGGUACGGGCGGGCUGGAGUGCGGUAGGGGAGACUGGAAUUCCCGGUGUAACGGUGGAAUGUGUAGAUAUCGGAAAAGAAC